rnacentral:tRNA from 1 species
AUUUUGAUAGCUUAAACUCCCAAAGCAUAGCACUGAAGCUGCUAAAAUGACCACAAGGUCUCAAAAUA